UUCUUUAUAAUAACAGAUCCAAGAGCAAACAUGACUUUAAUAGCCAUCAUUAUUUGGACACUCGCAACCUGCACCUGGAGUUCUGUAGGGCAGAUUCUGACUCAGUCUGAAGAUCAAAUAGUGAAGCCUGAUCAGACUGUCACUAUUAACUGUAAUCAUGAACCAGCAAUAGUUUGUAAUAAAAAAGAUACCUCUCAGAGAUGCAUGCACUGGUACCAUCAGAUUCCUGGAGAAUCUCCUAAACUCCUGAUCUAUUACACAUCAGAGAGAGCUUCAGGUGUUUCUUCUAGAUUCAGUGGCAGUGAAAGUGGAAACCACAUGGAUUUCAAUCUGACCAUCAGUGGAGUCCAGCCUGAAGAUUCAGGAAUUUAUUACUGUCAGAGUCAACACAGUAAGACAGGAGACUCAAAGAACCCAGACUGGGUGUUCACACAGUGUAAAAGCAUCAUACAAAAACCUCUCUGGGUGUGA